rnacentral:rRNA from 1 species
UGGCGCACGGGUGCGUAACGCGUGGGAACCUGCCCUUAGGUUCGGAAUAACUCAGAGAAAUUUGAGCUAAUACCGGAUAAUGUCUUCGGACCAAAGAUUUAUCGCCUUUGGAUGGGCCCGCGUAGGAUUAGAUAGUUGGUGGGGUAAUGGCCUACCAAGUCGACGAUCCUUAGCUGGUCUGAGAGGAUGAUCAGCCACACUGGGACUGAGACACGGCCCAGACUCCUACGGGAGGCAGCAGUGGGGAAUAUUGGACAAUGGGCGAAAGCCUGAUCCAGCAAUGCCGCGUGAGUGAUGAAGGCCUUAGGGUUGUAAAGCUCUUUUACCAGGGAUGAUAAUGACAGUACCUGGAGAAUAAGCUCCGGCUAACUCCGUGCCAGCAGCCGCGGUAAUACGGAGGGAGCUAGCGUUGUUCGGAAUUACUGGGCGUAAAGCGCACGUAGGCGGCUUUUCAAGUCAGGGGUGAAAUCCCGGGGCUCAACCCCGGAACUGCCCUUGAAACUGGAUGGCUAGAAUACUGGAGAGGUGAGUGGAAUUCCGAGUGUAGAGGUGAAAUUCGUAGAUAUUCGGAAGAACACCAGUGGCGAAGGCGACUCACU